UACGUAGGCAGCGAGCGUUGUUCGGAGUUACUGGGCGUAAAGAGUGCGUAGGCGGUUUUCUAAGUUUGGUGUGAAAUCUCCCGGCUUAACUGGGAGGGUGCGCCGAAAACUGGAAGGCUUGAGUAUGGGAGAGGUAAGCGGAAUUCCUGGUGUAGCGGUGAAAUGCGUAGAUAUCAGGAGGAACACCUGCGGUGUAGACGGCUUACUGGACCAUAACUGACGUGAGGCACGAAAGCGUGGGUAGCAAACAGG
rnacentral:rRNA from 1 species